GACGAACGCUGGCGGCGUGCUUAACACAUGCAAGUCGAACGGAAAGGCCUUUUCGGAGGUACUCGAGUGGCGCACGGGUGAGUAACACGUGGGUGAUCUGCCCUGCACUCUGGGAUAAGCCUGGGAAACUGGGUCUAAUACCGGAUAGGACCGCACUUUAGUGUGUGUGGUGGAAAGUUUUUUCGGUGUAGGAUGAGCCCGCGGCCUAUCAGCUUGUUGGUGGGGUAAUGGCCUACCAAGGCGGCGACGGGUAGCCGGACUGAGAGGUUGGUCGGCCACAUUGGGACUGAGAUACGGCCCAGACUCCUACGGGAGGCAGCAGUGGGGAAGAUUGCACAAUGGGCGCAAGCCUGACGCAGCGACGCCGCGUGGGGGAUGACGGCCUUCGGGUUGUAAACUCCUUUCGCCAGGGACGAAGCGUUUUGUGACGGUACCUGGAGAAGAAGCACCGGCUAACUACGUG
rnacentral:rRNA from 1 species